rnacentral:rRNA from 1 species
GAUGAACGCUGGCGGCGUGCCUAAUACAUGCAAGUCGAGCGAAGCGGGGACGGGUGAGUAACACGUGGAUAACCUCCUAUAAGACUGGGUCAACUUCGGGAAACCGGAGCUAAACCGGAUACUUAUCGAUGGAUCCUCGCUGGAAUAGCGAGUUCGUACGGAAACGGCUUACCAAGGCAACGAUGCAUAGCCGACCGGAGAGGGUGAUCGGCCACACUGGAACUGAGACAAGGGCCAGACUCCGACGGGAGGCAGCAGUAGGGAAUCUUCCGCAAUGGGCGAAAGCCUGACGGAGCAACGCCGCGUGAGUGAGGAAGGUCUUCGGAUCGUAAAACUCUGGUAUUAGGGAAGCGGUACCUAAUCAGAAAGCCACGGCUAACUACGUGCCAGCAGCCGCGGUAAUAC